AGAGGUUGCAGGACUGUUGUGUGGGGAACAGCUUGUCUCCCCAUCCCCAGGUCGGGGUACAACUGUAGGGUGCUCCUGCCCACUGCAUUCUGGCAACACCCCAAGAUAGUGUGGUUAGUGCACACUGCCCAGGACCUCAAUUUGCAUAUCUGGGGCCAGGUGGCAGGUACUGUGUCUGCCUGCAGGGCAUGUUUUAUUUAACAAUGCUAAGCCUAUUCUAUAUAUUUCUUAAAGGCAGGGUCUCAUGUAGCCCAAGGUAGUCUCAAACUCAAUGUGUAGCUAAGGAUGACCCUGAAUUCCCAACCCUCCUACCCUGAGAUCUGAGAUGACAGGCCUGAACCACCAGGCCUUACAAGUAUCAACUAAUUUGCUCACCAAGACACCUUCUCAUUAUCCUUUCUACAGAUGAGGAAACUGAGGCCCGAGGGUGGUGACUUCCAGAGCUGCCUGGGCUUCACAGAGAUAACCUUCGGCAAACCACAAAACAAGCUGAAAGCUGAGUGUGGGGUGGGAAUGGGACCCAGCUAUAGCCUGGUCACACAUUAAUUCUGAGGUCAGUCAACUUUUGUUGUUCGGUAUGAGGCAGGAGAUUCCUGUAUGUUACUCAGCUCUGUCCCAGUCGUGAGGCACACUUGUCAUCCCAGCACCAGGGAAGCAGAGGCAUGAGGCUUAGCUUGCAGGUUCAAAGCCAGCCUGGACUACAGAGUUUCAGGUCGGUUCUGUCUUCCUUUACGUUUUAUGGGUGAAGAAAAGGAUGAGGAAUGAAAAUGGUUUCAAAGUUGCACAGCAAAGAACUGCUGAGUCCGGGGUUUGAACUUGGGUAGACCCUGUGAACUUUGACCUAUAGAAGGUUUGACCUUCAAGCUCUUUACUAGAAAAAGAAGUCACCGCCAAGGUGGGGGAGUCCUCACAGGGGUUGAAGGAUUUUUCAAACUUUGCACGCUCUGGGCAAGCACCCCAUGCCCCACUCCGGCCUUCCCUAUUGACUUUUGGUUUGGGGGACAAGUUCUGAUCAGUUAGCCCAGGCUGCCCUCAAUUCCAGAACCUUGUGCCUGAGCCCCGAGCUGGGGUGCCAGGUGUGGCCCAUGUGUUUCAGGAGUGAAUGUCACCGGUGGGCGCAUGAGCGGGAGCCCAGGGGAGCUGGGUCAUCCCUAUCUACAGUUGGAGGUCAGUCUGGUCUACGCGACCCUUCGACUCAAAAGCCAAGAGGACGGUGACAACGCAGCUGAGCCUUCUCGGGAGUGGUGGGCCUAGUCUAAUCUGUGAGACCUUCUGGACAUAAACUGAGUUUGCCAGAGGACACAUAAUUCAACCCCGAGAUCAUGGACACCCAGUUUAUUAAUAAAGUUUUAUUGGCAAAUGGCCAUCCCCACUCA